CCAUCCCAGCCCACUGCACAGGGGGAGAAACUGAGGCCCAGCAGAGAUGAGGCAGAUCCAGGCCUCCACCCACCCACCCAGGACCUCCUAUAUCUGACACUCUCCCACCCGUGUGGUUGUCUAGGGUGUGACCACAGAGGCCAAAGGAGACUUCUGCUGCAGUCAUGGAAGGCUCCUUGGAAGAGGCGACGGUCUGCAGGGUGUGGAAGGGCUGGUGGAAAUUGGAGGCAGCCUCGGGCGCUCUCACGCAGCAAAUGGGGGUUGAGCACCUGCCAGCACCCCGCUGGUGCCGAGGACCCAGACCUUCAGGGCAGCCUGGCCUGCCCUCAGGGGCUCCCGGGAACCAGGCUCAGACUGCAGUGGCAUGAUCACAACUAUGGAAGCUUCCAGCACCAGCUACCUGGCUCUUUUCGAGGCUGCGCUUUUGUCAACAAGAGCUUAGUUUUCCCUCCCUUUGGUUGGAAUAUUUGUG